UCAAUUGCUGCUCCACUAUCCCCUCCUAUUCCAACCCCUGCAUUUGUGGCUGAUGAGCAUCAUCUAGCUUUCCCUUGCACAACUCGCAUGCCCCACAUAGUAAUUUCAGAGAGAUUUCUUGAUCAAAUUUUUGAUAGGAUAGAGAGGAUAUUUGAGGAUUUCAAGACUCAAAUCUUAUAGAGCUAAAAAGCAUCUCAGGAGCACACUCAGUCCCAGAUCUAGCAGCUCUGUAGAGAUUUGCUCAGAAUCACACUGAGGAUAGAGAGCUUGGAGUGCAUUGUGGACCACAGACCCAUUACAAACCAUCGGACUGACUCUUUAGCUCUUCAACAAUUCAUCUCACAGAGUCUUGAUGAGCAAGGACAUCUACUAAGGGAUUUUUUGAUUUAUUGAGCCAAUAGAUCAGCAAUUUGUCUCAAAGAUUGGAUAUUUUUUAGAAGAGAUAGCUUGGGACUGCUGAGCCAGUUGAUCAGUUGAAGGGAGAGGCUACUAGGAUUCUUCGACGAGCUGAGGAGAUCAUGAUUUCUCAACAGGCCUACAUAAAUAUUUUUGUCACUGCUUUUCAUCGAAUUCAGGAGCAAUUGGGUCAGAUUUGGUCUUGAAUUUUACCACCCUCCACCCAGCCCAGAUCCUCCACUAGCCAGCCCCACUCUUCCACUUCUAAACCUCCAUUCAGUGUCCCUGUC
rnacentral:lncRNA from 1 species